UUUGUUUAAAUUUGUUCUUAUAAAUUUCAUUUUUAUGUGAGCAAGAUUCUGAUAAAAAGGUGCAGCUUUAUGAUUUUCUUUUGUAAUUACUCGUAUUCCCUUGUGCUUUUGAAAACCAGAAGUUGUCUGACGAGUGCUCAUUAUGGUUAUGAUGCCCCAAUUCCUUUCAUUUUACUUGAAUUUUAUAUAUUUAUAUCUUAUAUAUUUCAGAUUCAAUUUUUUCUGUACCUUUAGCAUAGUGACAAUAUAUGAUUGUGUGUUGGUGAUUUUUUGAAGCUGAACAGAAAAGAGAAGAAAUGGGUUAGGGCUGAGAGGGAUAAGUAAAAAUAGCUGGUCUGGUUAUCCCAGCACAAAUUAUCUAACCAAAGAAACAGGCGUGGCACAGAGAUCAGAAGAUAGCCAAUUAAGUUCUGCAUGAAAAUUCAUAUACGUACUGGUUGAUGGAAAUGUAAGUGGUCAGAUCCUUAGAGAUUUCAUAUAUCUGCCCAGUUGCAUGUCGGAAGCAUUUGUUACCCUCUUCACCAAACUUCCAAUACUCAGGUUCAUGGUAUUUGAUAUCCCUAUAAUACAAAACAAAGCCAAACAUUAAUACAAAGCCACAAUGAGGGGCAUAGAAGAGGAGAACCCUCUUUCCUAAUAUUUUAAGCACAUACAUAGAAGUCCAGUGGAUUUACUUUCUUGAAAGGACAGGUGAUGAUUUCAUACACCCAAUGUAGACCCUGGGUUUUGAUCUAUGACGAUCAAGGGUUGUUGCUAGGACACCAAAACAGCAGCACAUGUUACAAUGUUAAAUCUUAUUUGGGAGAGAAAUAGGAUAGAGGAGGAAAAAAUGGCAAGGAAACACAAGAAAGAAAACAAGAAUCAUGAAAUAGCAUAUACGUAUACCUAAAUUGACGUGGACAUCAUCAUCCACCUUGACAUAGAAAUCAACAUCCAUUUUGCAACUGUAGUAGAAAAAGAAUUUUUUUGUCUUUGCAGAUAGCUCACGGUACCCUUCAGUGUGUUCCUACAAGAUAAUGUGGAAUCAAAUAUCACACUCCUGCCAGAUUAUCCAAUGUUUUUCUCACACAAUUUU